AGGAGGCCCCAACCCCAGUGGCGGGGCCAGCUCUGGAGCCCUGGAGUCAGCCCCUGCAGUGACUCCGGAGCUCUCCGUCUACAGGGCCUGGAGGCUCCGGGGCGGG
rfam:Canis lupus familiaris chromosome 6, whole genome shotgun sequence.